rnacentral:rRNA from 1 species
AGAGGUUUACGAGUCCGUCGGCGUACAGGACGACGACUGGACGGCGUGCUUAACACAUGCAAGUCGAACGGAGCACUUCGAAAGAGACUUCGGUCAAUGGAAAAGAAUGCUUAGUGGCGGACGGGUGAGUUAACGCGUGAGGAACCUGCCUUUCAGUGGAGGACAACAGUUGGAAACGACUGCUAAUACCGCAUAACGUACGGGUAUCGCAUGGUAUCUGUACCAAAGAUUUAUCGCUGAGAGAUGGCCUCGCGUCUGAUUAGCUAGUUGUAGGGUAAGGCCUACCAAGGCGACGAUCAGUAGCCGGACUGAGAGGUUGGCCGGCCACAUUGGGACUGAGAUACGGCCCAGACUCCUACGGGAGGCAGCAGUGGGGAAUAUUGGGCAAUGGGCGAAAGCCUGACCCAGCAACGCCGCGUGAAGGAAGAAGGCUUUCGGGUUGUAAACUUCUUUUUGACAGGGAAGAGCAGAAGACGGUACCUGUCGAAUAAGCCACGGCUAACUACGUG